rnacentral:tRNA from 1 species
GGGAUCGUGGCGCAGUUGGCUAGCGCGCAGGUCUCAUAAUCCUGAGGUCAUGGGUUCGAAACCCAUCGAUCCCA